GCCCACUUCUUUGCAUUGUCACACAUGCUUCAGUGCUCUGAGAGUGUUUAUAGUGCUGUGAGUUUAACACUUCAUGACUGAGAGCAGAACAGAACACAAUCUUCAUCAUCACACAAGACAAAAGAACAACAAUGAACACAAUCACCUUCUUCAUCUGGACUCUCACACUGUUUAUUCAAGAAUCCAGAGGAGUGACUCUGACUCAACCUGAAGUUAAAACUGUCCAACAGGGUCAAACAGCUACAAUAGAGUGUCAUAUAGAUGUAGGAAUAUACAGCAGCUACUUAGCCUGGUAUCAGCAGAAACCUGGAGAAGCUCCUAAACUCCUGAUUUAUUAUAUAAACACCCUCCAGUCAGGAACUCCAUCUAGAUUCAGUGGCAGUGGAACAGCAAGUACUGGACGAGAUUUCACUCUGACCAUCAGUGGAGUCCAGAAUGAAGAUACAGGAGAUUAUUACUGUCAGAGUUGGCACUAUGUCAACAGUAAAUAUGUGUUCACACAGUGAUAAAGAGUGGUACAAAAACCUCGGUCAGUCAGACGUCACAGUGAUGCACUGAUACAGCUGAGAGAUACUGCAGCUGCUGAUGGAGGAUCACAAACAACACAAUGGCCUCACUGAGCCAUCGGAUUUCAACAAAAAUGUCUUAAUUUGUGUUCCGAAGAUCAACAAAGAUCUUACGGGUGUAAAACGGCACGAGUAAUUAAUGACAGAAUUUUCAUUUUUGGGUGAACUAACCCUUUAAGAGAACGAUAACAAGGUGGCCAUGGACACUUCAUCCCCUUGGAAUUAUAAGGUUCUGUCUGCGUUCUGAGCAGUUUUGAGAUAUUGAGCUUCAAAGUUUUUGCAUUCCAUAUAGCAAAAACUAUGUGGGGAACAAGUUUCUUUCAAACAUGAAAAUGACAGGGACAGUAAAUGUAUUCUAAAUGUACAAUAUCAAAAUCCUCUCAAAUUUGUAAAUGGGGAUUUUUGGAACGGGUCAAAUGCAGAUAGAACCUUCUAAUUCUAAUUCUAAAAAAAAAAAAAAACACUUUUCGCUUGGAAUUAUAAGGUUCUAUCUGGUAAAAAAUUAAUUGAAGCAAUAAUUUUCAAGAAACACAAACAGUUUGCUUAUAAUUUCCUUUAAAACAUAAAAUUAGUGUUGUAACAAUGUGUUGACAUGCAUGAGAAAGUUUAAUUUAAUGGUUUUUAUGACAUUUAUUUUUUAUAUUUUAAAUGAAUAUUUAUAUAUGGGUAAUUUAACACAUUAUUGCAGGAACUAUUUAAGUAUAAGUUUCCUUUUGUUUAGACAGAAAGCAGCAAUAUUGUAAAAUUUAAGACAUUUUAAGUCUAAAAAGCUGCAAGAAAACAGACAAUGCUUCAGCUAAAAUUAUCGUUUUUUCAUUAAAGUAGUAAAUCGAACUAACAUUUUCUGUGAUUAAUUAGAUAAUCACAAAAUAGCCUGUACAUACAACAUGAGAGGAACAUUGCGGUUCACUGGAGCUUAAGUUUUAGAUAAAACUUCAUCAGAAUUUAAUAGAUAACAAUAAAAUCAGACUGGAUUUUAAACGAGCUAUAGCCCGCGCCGGAAGUGAAGGCUGGCGUCAGCAACUGAAGACUCAAACAUGUGUCAGCAAUCUUUUAUACUCCAAGUGUAAGAUAAUGAUUGGUUAAAUCAUUAAUCAAUAGGUGACGUAACAUUGAGUCUUCCUGGCAGAACUUACACUAGAGCUUACAUUUUUCUUAAUUGCAUUUACACUCACAGUUAAGACACUUGCGAUUGCAUUUUCAUUAAAUGUCCCGCAAUGAAUGUAACAAAUUUAUUAUUGCUUGCUCUGUCAGUAUGGUUGUAUGUUUUUCUCUUUUUAUCAUUCUGAUUAUUGUUUAUGCAUCAAUUAUAUUAAUAAAACGAUGUGUAGUCCAUCUG